GUUCGCAUCUCACAACUGCACCCUAUGUUGUUUUGCCAGUGAUUAACCAUCAUCAUUAUAGCAAUCUUCUCAUCAUAUCACUUGAGCCUAUCAAGUGGCAGAAUUUUGUGUUGCUGGACAAGUGCAUAGGAAGCUGAACCUGGAGUAAGGUCACCAAGGAUACAAAGUUGUUGAUUGGAACACCUGAUGCCAUUCUUAUUCCCUUGUCCCUCUCAUUAUCUCAAUUUGCCAAACGACGCCUAUCUUCCCUUCGUCGGUCACCCCUUCUUCGCCUCGCCCAGCACGUUACCCCGUCUUCGUCUCGCCCAGCACGUUACCCCGUCUUCGUCUCGCCCGUCGUCGCCUUGCCCGUCUUCGCCUCGCCCGUCUUCGCCUCGCCCGUCUUCGCCUCGCCCGUGUUCGCCUUGCCCGUCUUCCCCUCGCCCGUGUUCGCCUCGCCGUCUUCGUUUCGCCCGUCACCGCUUCGCCCGUCACGUCGUCUUCGCCUCGCCUUUAUGGUAUACUUGUAUUUUGUAAUGUCGUAUUAAUUAACCCGUUGGCUGCCACCCACUUUGGUCCCCUUUUUUUUUUAGCUUGACAGGGACGGGCCGCGCUGUUCUGUCCCAUGGUCUUUCUGCCAUGGGAUGGGACAGUUGCCACUGCCCAAAAUUUGCCUGCGGGCAGGUAGGCAAUGCACCAUAGGGAAUUCCCUUGAUCGACGCGCUUGAUGAGACCUGGAUGUGCAUUUCCGUAAAGGUCUCAUCAUCGUGUCAGCCCGGACUUGUCCAUGGGCAAGUCCCCCUUGGUCGCUAUCCCUUUGAUAGCGAAGUAGCGAACGUAGUGUGUAGUGGCGUGGCAGC